AUGUGUUCAUGGCACAACGGUU
rnacentral:miRNA from 1 species